rnacentral:rRNA from 1 species
UGAACGCUGGCGGCGUGCCUAACACAUGCAAGUCGAACGGAGUUCUUAAGGAAUGCGACUUCGGUCAAAUGACUUUUGAACUUAGUGGCGGACGGGUGAGUAACGCGUGAGCAACCUGCCUUUCAGAGGGGGAUAACAUUUGGAAACAGAUGCUAAUACCGCAUAAGAUUACAGUACCGCAUGAUACAGUGAUCAAAGGAGCAAUCCGCUGAAAGAUGGGCUCGCGUCCGAUUAGAUAGUUGGUGAGGUAACGGCUCACCAAGUCGACGAUCGGUAGCCGGACUGAGAGGUUGAACGGCCACAUUGGGACUGAGACACGGCCCAGACUCCUACGGGAGGCAGCAGUGGGGAAUAUUGCACAAUGGGCGAAAGCCUGAUGCAGCAACGCCGCGUGAGGGAAGACGGUUUUCGGAUUGUAAACCUCUGUUUUCGGUGACGAACAAAUGACGGUAACCGAGUAGGAAGCCACGGCUAACUACGUGCCAGCAGCCGCGGUAAUACGUAGGUGGCAAGCGUUAUCCGGAAUUACUGGGUGUAAAGGGAGCGCAGGCGGGAUAGCAAGUCAGCUGUGAAAACUAUGGGCUCAACCCAUAAACUGCAGUUGAAACUGUUAUUCUUGAGUGGAGUAGAGGCAAGCGGAAUUCCGAGUGUAGCGGUGAAAUGCGUAGAUAUUCGGAGGAACACCAGUGGCGAAGGCGGCUUGCUGGGCUCUAACUGACGCUGAGGCUCGAAAGUGUGGGGAGCAAACAGGAUUAGAUACCCUGGUAGUCCACACUGUAAACGAUGAUUGCUAGGUGUGGGGGGUCU